GACGUAGGGCGCGAGCGUUGUCCGGAUUUAUUGGGCGUAAAGAGCUCGUAGGCGGCUCGUUGCGUCAAUCGUGAAAAUCCAGGGCUCAACCCUGGACCUGCAUUCGAUACGGGCAGACUAGAGUUCGGUAGGGGAGACUGGAAUUCCUGGUGUAGCGGUGAAAUGCGCAGAUAUCAGGAGGAACACCGGUGGCGAAGGCGGGUCUCUGGGCCGAAACUGACGCUGAGGAGCGAAAGCGUGGGGAGCAAACAGG
rnacentral:rRNA from 1 species